UCACUGUAUCCCCUUCCGUAACUCCCUGCCCUCAAGAAGAAGCAAUGCAUUGGAGCCUGCUGAUCAUUCUUCCAACUUCCCUGGGUGCACAGGAAGAAAGGAGUCGUUCACAUCUGCAGCAUAAACCACCACCAAGCUUGAGCAUUCUGCAUUAACAAUGACAAGCUGACUUGUACAUCCCUCCUCCCCCUCCCAUCCCCAAAAGAGCAUAAACAUGCAAUGUGAAAUGGAAAUGCUUUGACUUCAGUUUUUGCUGGGAUCUCUAGAUUGGGCAGGAGGAAUAAUAAUAACAACAACAACAAUAAUUUUUAAUUAGAUUUGUUAUACUGCCCACCCCCGAAGGUACAAAGACAUGCUGAUUUACCAGGGCAGUCCUAACUGGAGUCACACCCUCCUAAGCAUUUUGAGGUUAGCAGGCUGGGAAGGGUGUAAAUUCUGCUCAGGAGUACACUGUAGGUCUGGGUUCUUCCUCAAGUCCAACCCGGCAGACUGCCUGUGCCCUGAUGAAAAUCUGUUUUUUAAAAAAAUAAGUGAGCAGUGGACCAAAAUAAUUGAGAACCCUGAACAAGGCACUUCUUGGAUCUUAGUGGAAAUUGUAUGGAAUCCUAAGUAUGGAUGAGUCUGAGUAUGGGGCAUGGUUGUCUGUUUUCCUCUUACAAUAAGGAUGUUAAUGGGUGAAACUCAGCUUGCUUUUGCUGUGAGCCACUUGCCAGUGCAGAGGUCUUUUAUAAUCUUUUGGACAUUUUUUUUCCUUUUUCAAGAUGAUCGGUUUGCUGAAUGUGGCCUCUGCUUCUAUCUCAGCACACCUUCCAUGUAAGAGCAAAUGGGGACAGGCGGGCUGUUCUCCUUAACAGCAAGGAGGAAAGCAGUGACCUGUGAUCUUGCACAGGUUUCACACGUUACCACUCAAAGCACUUUUGAGCCGUUACCCUGCUGUUCGUAGAAAUAAAUGGAGGAUGGAUUUUUAAAAUGCGUUUGUGUCAAAGUUUCCAUCUAUUUGAUGGUCAUGCAGGACAGUGCAUUUACAGUCAUGUCUGACUCUUGUUGCAUUUUUGUGCCACCUGAGAACAAAUGUAUUCAGUCUGAGUUGCAUUUUUAAAAUCCUCCUCUAAUCAUUUUCCCAUUGGGUUAUACUCAUUUGAGAAGCUUCUGCUGUAAUGUUUUACUAUCUCUCAUGUAAGGGGUGUGGGGAUAUCUCAUUGAUUCCAGUGAUGCAGGGGCAACCUUACCCCAGCCAUCUGUUUUUUAACGCCAUUGCUGCUGUUGCUCAAGGGAGAGAGAGGAACUUCUUGGAGGGUUUUCUUCUCUUUCAAAAGAGCAUCUAUAUCCACAUAGUAGCCUUUAAUUAAAAAAUAGCAGUAACAACUGAGAAAUUGACAAGGGUUUUGAUGAAAUUGUCACAGCUUUCUCCUGGCCUUUUUAGUUUCACUGGAGGGCACAGCAGGAUACAGUGAAGGGACUGACAGUGAGGCAGGUGAGGAGCAUGCCUGUAGAACAUCUGACCUGACCAGAUAGGCAAUAUGUGUCUAUAUCUUUUUUUCUCCUGUAUAUCAAGCACAAAGUAUCAAGUUCCUGUGGGCUUCUGUCAGCUUUAUUUAUUGCAUCUCACACUCAUUCAUGCGUGAUAUGUUGCACCAUCCCUUAUGACCUUUGUCCUUAUGAGACUCCUAGUAAAUAAGUCAAUGUGUUCCUGUCUCACUGAUGGGCAACCAAAUCCGACUGUGAGAUAUCCUGAGACGCAUAGCAAAUUCCAACUAAACUACAACAUGAACCCAAGUUUCCAAGGUUGUGAUUCCAUCUAGUAGAUUGAUUCAUUCAGCUCUUUUUUCUUUCCACCAUGAUGUUCAUCACUCAGGAACACACUAUUGAAAGUGUAAAUAUUGACAAAACAAGGCAGUAUCCGUAAAUUUUCAGAUGUAUCAUUCCCUUCUUCAGCCACACAUGCACGGAACACCAGAAACCACCUUAAAUAGGAAAGCAAAAUCUAUACUUUGUUAAACAACUACAUAGUGCUAAAAUUCUGACCUCAUAAUGAAUAUAUACUGGUCACAUGUUAUUCUCUUUCAUCUUCUUUAGGUCUUUAUUUACAGCUUUUCUGGCCUGGCCUGGCCUGGCCUGGCCUGGCUUAGUCGAAAGCAUUGCAGUUUUAACCCAGCUGCAUGGAGAGAAAGGAUGUCUUCAUCAUAUGUAUUUUGUAUUUCAGCCCCCCCUCCCCAGUGUUCCAGUAUACAUCAAGAUACCUGCAAGCAUCUCUGCAGUCCCUCUGUGUGGUUUUCUCAUGAGAGAAGCCAAGCACUUCGUAAGCUAUGGAGAGUUUCUUAGGCAGAUUCUGCAUGAGCCAAAAACAGCGGUGUGAAAAUGGUGUAAAAUGGUUUAAAACAGUAUAAAAGGGUUUAUACCUUUUUCACACUGUUUUCACACCACUGUUUUUGGCCCAUGUGGAAUCUGCCUUAGAGAGGGCUGCAUCUUGUGCUGUUCUGUCUGCCCAGGUGAAAUCUGUUAAGGCUGAUGCUUUCCAUCUGUUUUUUAGCAAUGGCUUGUUUAAUUGAUUAUAUGUAUGACAGCUGAUGUUGCAUCAUGGAUAGAGAGUUAUAGGACCUGGGGCAACUGGAAUUGAACCCUGCUUUGCAAUGGGAGCUCACUGGGUGCCCCUAGGUCUACCACAGUCUUUUUGUAUCAACUAUCUCAAAAAUGAGGAUAGGAUGGAUGAGAAGAAAAUGAUGUCAUAAGCAGCUGGGGUCCUGCUCAGAAAAAAAGUAGUAUGUGAAUAAAAAUAAUACUGAAAUAAUAUAAAGAUAAGGUUUUAAAUGUGCACUUAUGUUCUUAUGUUCACUUUAGUAUUGACAGUGACCCUGUUGUUACAAGAGAGGUGAUAUGAUAUUGAACAAUUUCUGUAUCUUAUUGGAUUGUACAUGGGUUUACAUAACACGCCAGUUGCAUCUGAUCUAUAAUUUUAUUGCCUGUAUAUAAUGUUACUGUUCAAUAGGAGGCUUUUGUGCAACAUAAACCAUAAAUUCUGCAGCUUUUUAAUAUAUAGUUAUUGGUCUUCCUUUCUAGGGCAUUUCCUACCAGUGAACUUUUUAUUGCAUUGAGCACUGAAUUGAUAGGCCCUGCAAAAUGUGCCCUGCAAAAUUGACAGGCCCUGAAUUGAUAGGCCCACCUGCAAAAUGGGAAUUGUUUGGAUCUAAUGCAGGCUUACUGCGAGAAGGUAGUCCAGCAUUGCAUAAAAUGGCAAAUGUGACCUAAAGGCUACCAAAAGUCAGCAUGAAGUUGGGUGGGUUGAUUACUCCUUUACAAAGAGAGUAUAUAAAAUUAAGCCCAAAUGUGUAACAACUUGUUGUGUAUAUAGGAAGUUGUGACAGUGGAACUGCAGAACUCCCGUCCAGAUCAGAUCUUCCUUGCUCCUACUCUUGCAACCUUUGGGCUCUAAGUUGAAAGCUUUUGAGAUGUCUUAACUUCCUUGAUUUGAACAACUGCUGCUAUCGCCUCUUUGCUGUGCCUUUUAUUUGCAGUUUGAAGUGAUCUGAGUUCACACUUUGGGACCUCAUGCACUUUUUUCUCAGCCCUCUUCAAGAUCUUAAACAAAAGAUGGGUGAUAAAUAAAAGCAGGUUAUAACAACAGUGUUGUUUUCUUUUUGAAUACUAAUGUGUAAAGUGUAUGAUUUGGCACAUGUGGGAGAGAUCUAGCAAUCUGUUACAUCAGCUUUGUCCUACUGUGCUGAAUCCAAUAUUCUGCAAUCUAAUUUUAUACAUAUUUACUUUUGGAGAAAUGUUAUGACUGUCUAACAAAUCCCAUUGCUUGUUGAAGUUAUUUUGGUCAUUAUUAUGAUGUCUGGUCUGUGUACCAUGUUUGAGUAUCACAACAACUACAGUAGAUAAAAAUGUAGUUUAAUCUUUUCGUGUUAUUUCAAGUUGAAUGUGCAAAUUACUGCAUUUAUUCUUUUCUUGGAUGCCUACUUUUGCUCUGCAUAGAUAAAUAGUUAUGAACAAUAAAUGGUAUGUUGGUAGCUUAAUGGACAAUGUGGAAUGGACAUCUUAAUGAAGUUUUGUAAUGCUAUUCAGUGUUUUUUGCUUUUCUGAAUAAGGUAACUGUGCUGAGUUUCUCUGUUGACUUUUUCAUGGCAUAAGUCACAAAUCUUCAGAUAUAAGGACUGCUAUACUCUUAACUUCUGUUAGCUUUACCUAAUACUUGCUGUGUCACCAGCACAUAAACACUUGGAAUUGAGAGUAUUAACAGCUAUGUAUUAUGGAACAUUUAAUUUCUAGAAUCUUGUUCAGUUAUAACACUAAAUGUUUCAGAUCAAAGUGCUAGCUGCUUAUGCAAAACAUGAAUAUUCUCUGUGCUGUCCAAGAAGGAGGGAUAGUAAUGCUUUAAAUGUAGGAAGACUGAAAUAAAAGUAUUUUUCUUAUGCCUUU